AAGUGUGAGACCAUGACCUGAGCCGAAGUUGGACACUCAACCGACAGAGCCUCCCGGGUGCCCUGGUCCUGGCAUUUCUUCACAGGAAACCCAAGGCAGCUAGAAGCAAACGCUGCGCAGCGCUCACCGGAUUUCUGUGACACAAGUGACUUACUGCUAGAAUAUAAGUGGAGGCACGUCAGACAUUCUAAGAGUUUAUGUGAGCAGACACCGAUUCCAGUCUGGCAGCGCCACACUGGCGGUCAGGAGGGCGCCCCCACCGGCGGGGCUGGGGGAGACUCCGUGGAGGGGCGUGCGGUUCAUUUCUCCGUGACGUGGGGAUGGCUCCUCCCAGGACCAGGUCAGACGCGCCGCGAGCCACAGAGGCGCAGCGGCGCCGGGAAGGAGGCUCGGAGCUUCGAGCGGCCACGUUACCUGACGUCCGGCCUCGGGCAAGUCCCAGGUCUCCGGCUCUUCUUUCUCUGUAAGAUGGAGAAAUGGGACCAGACGUCGGCAGGGGCCCUUCCGGUCCCGACGUCUGUGCUUGAAGCAAGAGCACGUAGGAGAGUGGUGAGGGGCUUGGCCGAGGGCCUGUGGUGUGCGCGCACCCCUUCUCCGGGACACUUGUCCACGCGAGGGUGACUGGACGAGCUAGCGCGGUCCCUGCCGGGCCCACAGCGCGAGGACAGUCUGAGCCCGACAGCGUCUGCUGAGCUGCUGAAGACGGAUGUGCACAGCGCCCCGGUGUUGUCCUAGCAGACGGUGUCAGGGAGCAGCGCGUCACCCGAACGUAAGGCUCUGGAUAGUGUGAACCCCACUGUUUCCGCACCCUGGUUCUUUCCUCUGGCAAGGUGUCCCCCGAGGGGGCAAUGCCCCGUGCGUCCCUGAAGGGUGCGCCCCCAAGGGGGUGAUGCCCGGUGUGCCGCCCGAGGGGGGUGCCCCCGUGGAACAAGC